rnacentral:misc_RNA from 1 species
GAUGAAGAACGUAGCGAAAUGCGAUAAGUAAUGUGAAUUGCAGAAUUCAGUGAAUCAUCGAAUCUUUGAACGCACAUUGCGCCCAUCAGUAUUCUGUUGGGCAUGCCUGUCCGAGCGUCAUUUCAACCCUCAGGGCCCGUUCGCGGGAACUGGUGUUGGGGAUCGGCCUCCCCCCGGAGGCCGGCCCCGAAAUGCAGUGGCGGCUCUACCGCGAUCUCCUCUGUGUAGUAGCGAUAACUCGCAGCUGGAUAGUGGUGGUGCCACGCCGUAAAAUCCCAACUUUACCAAGGUUGACCUCGGAUCAGGUAGGAAUACCCGCUGAACUUAAGCAUAUCAAUAAGCGGAGGA